UACGGGGGGAGCAAGCGUUGUCCGGAAUCAUUGGGCGUAAAGCGCGCGUAGGCGGCCUUGUAAGUCCGUUGUGAAAGUCAAAGGCUCAACCUUUGAAAGCCGAUGGAUACUGCAAGGCUGGAGUCCGGAAGAGGCGAGUGGAAUUCCUGGUGUAGCGGUGGAAUGCGCAGAUAUCAGGAGGAACACCAAUAGCGAAGGCAGCUCGCUGGGACGGUACUGACGCUAAGGCGCGAAGGCGUGGGGAGCGAACAGG
rnacentral:rRNA from 1 species